rnacentral:rRNA from 1 species
CGCGUAGGCGGUUAAGAAAGUUAGAUGUGAAAUCCCUGGGCUUAACCUAGGAACUGCAUCUAAAACUAGUUAACUGGAGUGCUGUAGAGGGUAGUGGAAUUUCCGGUGUAGCGGUGAAAUGCGUAGAUAUCGGAAGGAACACCAGUGGCGAAGGCGGCUACCUGGACAGACACUGACGCUGAGGCGCGAGAGCGUGGGGAGCAAACA